AGUGUGUUUGUGUGUGUGUGUUCAGGUGUUUACAUGCGAGGGAUUCUCAUGUACUGCUGCAUAUUUGUGAUCUUGGUGAACAUUAUUAUAUCUUGUUGACACGUGCCUACUCAGUAAUUUUAUUUGUAUUCAGAUAAUCUUAUAUAAAGAUGGGAAGAAUAGGACACCUCAUCUUGCUAUUCCGAGGUGUUGUUGCAUACAGAGCUUGAUAUUUGUUUUAGACAGAUACUAACUGUAAGCUCACGCUUUGACAUUCUAGUUGUAGUAGUUUAGUAUUUGGAUAAUUAAUUCUUAUCAAGUCUUUAUAUUGUGUAUUCUUGUGUUCAUAUGUGUAUUUAGAUAUUGUAGUGUUAAUGUUAAUUGUUAGCCUUCUAUGUAUUUACUGUUAUGGUGUUAUUCCUGAAUUGUCUGCAAUUCUUUUUUACAAUUUAUUUCCAUCAACUCAUUCACCCACCCACUGCAUAGAAGAUCUAGUCCCUCUGUGUUGAUAUUUCAUCAAACAAGCAAUCCAGCACUGUUGCAUAAAGUACAAUAAUAUUUCGAAAUUCAAUGCUUUUAAUGAUUUUGCAUAGUCUGUGUCAAUUCAUUGAAACACAAGCUAUUACAGAUAAGACAAACACUCAUAGUAAGAGUGAGAGGCAAAACAAAAGCAUUUAAUUCCUCAGCGAAGAAUAAAAAACAGGUGACCCAAACACAGUAAACAGGCGUCCAUACUCAGGCCCGUCGUUAUAAAACACCAAAGAGGGCCAGCUUCAGGUAUGUCAUAGGGAAGGCAGUAUUAUUACUGUGUGUUAAUGCGUAGGACUGGGUGAGUGAGAUAACACAAUAGAUGAAAAUGCAGCAAUUGUUUCAAUUCUUUAAUAUGAUGAACAAUUCAAUGAGUUGCGCUUGCAAUUUCAAAUAGAAUUAUUAUUUUAAAUGAAUACUGGACAAUUGAAACAAAUAAUUAGUUCUCCUGUCCACCCAGUUAGUUUUCUCUGGCAACGGGUCGGUCAUUCUGCAGGUAAAAGCUGAUAACAGGGCAACUUCAUUCACUGAGCUUCGCUUUGAGAACAAACAGUUACCGCGAGAUAAAUGAACCGCUAAACUUCUCCGUUUCCAUGGGUGUCCAAGUGAGGUGGUCAGACACAGCAGCAGGUGACGCACGAGCAACCUGUCAUUAUUAAUGUCCCUGAAUCUUCUGUGCCUUUAGAUUUGCAGCCAUGCAGUAUUUAGAGGGUUAACACCCCAUUUCAGAACGGUGUAGUCCAAUAAACCAGCCAUUGGAAGAAAAGUCCUUUUCUUCAACACAUUUUCGUUGCUUAAAGAGCUUCAAUCAAUCACCAUUAGCAUACCUCUUGGCUCGUGUUCGUUCAAUUAAUUAAAUUCAAUAGCCCAAGUCAAAGCCUCAUGUUGUGCUAUCUAUUAUCAUUCAUUAGGAAUGAAAAGGCUUUAAACUUCAAUAUGCUCCAUAUCCAGCAGCACAAAGCACAAAUAAAUUAAGAGGGAUAAAAGAAAUCAAACAUUUGGGAAUGUGUGAUUCUCAUUCCAACUGCUUUGUUUGCCGACACACACAUAUGAAAAUACUAAGGUCCUAAGAAGUAAAGUUCAGCAGAUGUGAGAGGCCUGCAGCAGGUGGCUUCUUUUCUUUCUACAUGCACCCUUUCACUUUCAGUACAGCCUGCAAAGCAAACACAAAGUUACAGCAAAUUGCCUCAUGGAGCUCAUUUCUUUUACGAUAAGGGACAAAUUAAUUCUAACGCAAUGUUCCAGCCAGCCACAACAGCACGGAUUUAACACAUUAAAUAUUCUGUUUUUGUGUUUGGCUCGCUUGCUGAAAGGUAAAUUGCAAGUAUUCAUAAAUGAGCAGCCAAUGUUCCCUCAACAGGUCUUUGAUACGGAAGAGUAUGAGCUUCGGAAGAAUUUCCUUUAACCCUUGUGUUGCCUUAGGGUCAUUUUGACCCGAAUCAAUAUUACACCCUCCCCCCGCCUUAGGAUUAAUUUGACCCCAUUCAAUGUUUAAUGUCGGUGUUCUUUCGGUAGUCAACAAACAAACAUAAAGUGCCUCACACUUAAACUUGGAAAACAAUAUUAAUUCUAAUAAUUUUCUGGAGGUUUUAAUUGCUGGCGUCAAAUUGAACCCAAAGGGUAAAAUAUGUUAGUAAAUAUAAAGGUAACAGGAGGGUGAAACAUUGAAUCGGGUCAAAAUGACCCAAAGGCGGGGGGAGGGUGUAAUAUUGAUUCGGGUCAAAAUGACCCUAAGGCAACACAAGGGUAAAGUUAAAGUUCCACUAAAGGUCUUGCAAUCUGAUGUCCUGUUUCAAGUUUACUUUAUGACAACAUAAAACACAUCUGCUCAUUCUUUAUGGACUGACUGAUUGCUGAGCCAAUGAACACAUAACAGCUUCAACACCCAGCCAGACAUUUACACAGUGAAGCCACCGGCCUGAUUUAGAACGAAUGAAGCUUUAAUAUUAAAAGCUCCAAGAUAGUUUGAACGCUAUAAUAAAACAACUUUUGUGGCAUUGCUACAGACAUAAUGUAUUUAAUAUAGACCUGAAUAAAUAAACGUAAUCACUUACUCUUCAUCUUCUUUCGAGUGCGAUGCAAUAAAUAAAGAGCCAACAGGGAGUCUUCUAUUAGAAUAUACACUUUUAUUAAUCCCCAAGGGGAAAUUAGUUCUCUGCAUUUAACCCAUCCUUAGUUAUUAAGGAGCAGUAGGCUGCGGUGAAGCGCCCGGGAAGCAACUGGGGGUUCAGUGCCUUGCUCAAGGACACUUCGACUUGCAACUAAUGGGGAGAGCGGGGAUCAAACCCACAACCCUGCGGUUGCAGGACGGCCCUCUUACCCCACUGAGCUAAAGCCGCCCCAGUUUAGCACACCCCCCGGUAGAUUAAAUCAGGAGGAGAACUAAUAAAUACGUGUAGGUUUGGGUAAAAACUACUUAUCUCCAGUUGAGGUGGUCUGAGUUAUAAUAAACACAAUGUUUUGCUACAGUAAAAAAUAUUUUUACUGGAGAUGCAUCAUAACUUUCAUUUAUUUAACCCUUGUGUUGCCUUCGGGUCAAUUUGACCCGAUUCAAUGUUUCACCCUCCUGUCGCCUUCGGGUCAAUAUGACCCGAUUCAAUGUAACCCUCCUGUUACCUUUAUAUUUACGAACAUAUUUUACCCUUGAGGUCAAUAUGACCCCAGCUAUUAAAAUCUCCAGAAAAUUAUUAGAAUUAAUAUUGUUUUCCAAGUUUAAGUGUGAGGUACUUUAUGUUUGUUUGUUGACUCCCGAAAGAACACCGACAUUAAACAUUGAAUCGGGUCAAAUUGACCCGAAGGCGACAGGAGGGUUAAAAGGAAAUCUGGGGUUGGGAGGGGGGCUUCAUUCACUCUUUGCACUUUGAUUCAUCAUAAUAGAUAUUUGACCUGGAAUACAAACCACAUUGUUUUCUCCCCAUUGACAAAAGCAGCAUUCUUUGCCCGAGAAGUGAGUAUUAUCAUGAAGUUAAAACCAAGGCCGCCAAGUGGCUAAGAUUCAUAGGGGUUUGCUUCAUGUGUCUCCACAUUCCGAACUGGAGUGCCUCUUGACUUGAAGGCUUCUUGAGAAAGCCUUUAUCUGGAGCUAAAGCUUGGUACACUUUGCAGAAUGGCUGCUGUAAGCAGCUCCUCGUGGCCUUUCACACACACUCUGUCCUCCAAGUUUAAAUGUCAAGCCCACAUUAGCUUGUGAAGCCCUGCAUAGAUACAACAAGUUGUCUGACAGCCAAGGUUCAGACUUACACACACACACACACACAAUACCUUACACACUAUAUCAAGAUUACAUCACAGAGUGCAAAACACACUGUAUACUUGCUUCCAGUAUUUGAAUGCAAUGAGGUUACUGUCAAUCUAAUGGAUAUGACAUCCAAGCGAUGGGUUGCACACACACACACACACACACACACACACUUGUCCUCAACCUGUCAUAGUCCUGCCACCUGUCAUAUGGUCACGGCCAGAGGAGGCAGCAACGAAGCGGAACAACAAGGCAAGAGCACGAUUCCUCCACACGUACAGUAUGCACACUCAUACGGAACCUCAACGCAAACACUGCCUGAACCACACACAUAUCCUCCAUGGCAGACACCAUCUCUCACUUUGACAUGGCAUCUCAUAAGUCAGCUGCCAAGGCUAGGGGGAGGUGAUGGAGGGUGCAGUGGGAGGAGAAAGGGACGGCAGGUAAAGGCUAGAGGAGGUAUAGAGAAAGAAUAAGGCAGUGCCGGAGCAUGAUAACCCAAUUUGUUAGUGGUGGAUAAAUAGAGGUCUGGGAGGUAAAUCACCUCGAGGAGAGCAAAUGAAAUAAAUAUGGAGAGAAAAACAGCGAGGGGGAGGGCAAGGGAUGAGGCGGAUUGGCCUGGAAUAAACAACUUGUAAAUAUGGCCAACCGUGCUCGUUGGUGAGAGGCUAUAUUUCAAUAUUGAGCAUAUAAAAAGGCUACACGGAGGAAUUAUAUCUGCUACCAACUGAACUAAAAAGUCAUAAAUCUUCUUGCAACUGACCUAUUUUGAAGACACAGACAAACAGUAUUGGGUUCAACAUUUCUUCGUCAGCAAGGCCUUAUCUGUUACUAGAUGUGUGGGCUUGUUAAUUAUAUUUUGUUUGUCUCUAUAUAUUUAACAUCCUAUUGUACUUGCAUCUAAAUCUGAGUACUUAUAUAAUUUUCUCUUGGGGAAGAGAAGCCUGUUUAAUAGUUCUUACACACACUUUUGUACUUAAGGAAUCAAUAAUAAAACACUACGAUCCAGAACGUCACUCACUCAACUUUGUCACUGUGUGCUUCCCAAUUAGCCUUUUUAAAAACACGGCUCAGCACUUUGUUCCUUGUUCAUGAAAGUUGCUUGCCAAAAAUCUUCUCUGGAAGUACUUUGUUGUGUCAGAUUUGCAUCAGAGUAAUGGCCCAUAAGGGAUGUGCUGCUGAAUUAAAAAGGACAACAAAUUACCUCUCUCUCUCCCCCCCUCUUCCCCCGCCCUCUCUCUCUCUCCCUCUCUCCAACACAUCCAUUUUUUUGUUGAGAAUGUAAGAGAUGCCAUCAUCCCCUCCUGUGUGGUUACACCAUGAUUACUCAAGCCAGCUUCUCCCCUCCAUUGCUGGGACUCGAGACAAAAGAAAUAUGGAUUCACGCUGGAUCCAUGUUGGGCGGACAAGCCUCAUUUCCUCCCCGUCAGUUAUCCAUAUUCGGAUGUAGAAGUGCACCUUAAACAUACGUUUGCUUAUCAAUACAUACCUGAGCCCCACUCAUUAAAACUGUCAAUUAGAAGAACGACAAAGAUGUGAAAUUUAAGCGAUGGUGUCAUCUGUGACAUUCGCUAACAGCACCAGAGCAGCUUCCAUACGCAUGAUGUUGCUAGUUAUAGUGCCUGUACCACUGAUACAGCACAUAUAUCUGUAGCCCAUUAUUACAGUGAUAUCCCAAACAUCAUUCUUAAAUGUCAGAAACAUGACCACUAGUCAAAUGAUAGAGCUCAUGUUUAAAUAAAUUUCACAGAGUUCUUUUUAAGUCAGAGUACAAUUAGGAGUCAGUAAAACAGUUUAAUGAUGGCUCAAACCAUGUUGGUCUAUCAUUGUGCAUUCAUUUACAGACACACAGAAUGCGCUGUAGACUGCCAAAUUCAACAACAACAUUGAAAUUGGCAAAAAACCUAAACAAUCACUAACAACAUAGUUUGAUGUUUCAAAUUAUAUUUCAUGUCCACCUUAUCACAUUACCUGCAGCUCUCUAGAAAAUUGUGUGUCCGCUACCAUGAAGUAUGCAGGAGGUGUUUGAAUUGGCAUAUGCAUGAUUUUAUGCGUAUGCAUUUAUUAUGCAUUUGGCCCUAGUGUUUGACUAAAUAUGGUGCCGUUUUUAAGCAGAAGGUUUUUGAAGGCCAAGUUCCAGACAUGGAUGGAUCAUUAAAUCUAUUUUUCAGUCUAAAUAUUGAAUCAAAAAGUAGAAACUCAGUUUGUCCUAAAUGUGUUGACAAAAGGUUUCUUUUUGUGUAUGAUUGUAAUAGUGAAUAAAGACCUAAGCAGCUUUAUAGACAGUGUUGAAAACAUGUCAUUGAACACUUUCUCAAUCGACAGGUUAUGUCGUGGUUCACUUGUAGAUUAGGAUCUGUAGGCAUUUUCUUUUAUUUUCAUAUCUACCCUUCUUUUUUACAAAAUUGUGAUCCAAAAACAUUCAGGGAGUGCAGUUAGUUACAGUGUGGGCUCCAUGCUCGGUCUGACAGCUUAAUGGUGAGGCAGCCGUGAACAACAUAGGUGCAAGGCUAAGCAAAGGGUGAAUUGAGAAUAACAGUUUUCCUUAAACUUGAUGAAAACCAUAUAAAUGACAAAACAUACAGAACUACAGACUAUCUGCAUACUCAUGUGCAGUUAUUUAAUAAUACCAUGAGAGCAAUUCAGAAAAAUCCCCAUGACUGUCAGGACACAGGUUAUUUAUCCAUGGCUUCAACACGUAAAGUAAGCCAAUGGGUGUUAGACCAUUAGAAGGGAUUGGCUUAUUUAUAGGGAGUGCUGGUCUCUUUAUUGUACCCCAUACCUUCUGUUCUGUCAUGAGCAACCAUCCAAAAGUGCACUGAACAGCAAGAAUGGAGUUAAAUUAGUGAACAUCAAAUGGCAAAGAAUUUAUGACCAGAAUAUAUGCAGUAUAUAUACACGGACACUAAGCAGUGUUAAGUGAACUUAUAAAAACAUCAGCACUUACAACAUCAACGACAGUUAAUAGUCACCCUAAAACAAAUUCAGACAGAUGUAGUGGAGAAUAUAAUUAUUUUAAAGAGGCUUUUGGAUAUAUAUCUUUUUUUGGCUUCAAGACAACUUGAAUUCAAAGGCUGAACCUCAAAUGUUGACGAUGUUCAUUAUGGCAAUUUUCUUGUCACUCUUGAGUUGCCACAUUAUCAACCCCAUUCAGAUGAGCAAUUAGAAAAAGUAAGGCAAAAAAGAGAGAGUUAACUCAUUAUCUAAGUGGUGAGAAGCAGAACGAGCUCCCUUCAAUGAGCUCUGUGGUAAAAGAGUGCUCAUCGCUAUCCUGGCAGAAGGAGAACAUGCAAUAUCUAACCCUGUGUUCCAAAACUCAGUGUCGGUCGCUGGCAUGAAUAUUAUCUGCUUCGAGUGGCCAAACAAUGUACCAACCAAUGUUCCGACUGCAACCAACCAAUAUUGAAUCAUGUCUGCCUGUUCUGUUUGUUAAAUCUCACUACACAGAUUUACACUCUACCUUUGUAUCAUAAUGUUUUGAGUUGCCCCUGAAGCCAAUAACGGAAAAUAAUGUCAGUAUUUGACAACGUAUGCCUCUGUUGACCUUUGCUAAUUGGAUAUAUACACAUAUUAUAUUUUAGGUUGGCUCUGAGGUCAUGUAUUGUAUUAGAGUUGUUGCUUAGGUUGUAGAGUUGUAUCAGAGUGUUGCAUGGUAUUCCGAAACUAAAAAAGGUAUGGCAACACCUUGUAGUUAGCUAAUGGCACUUUAAGUAUGACAGUUUUUUUACAAUUGGAUCCAACCGGAUCGGUGGUUUUAACUUUGCAUCAGUCAAAUAAAAAUACUGCUUGUUUUAUCAGUCCACGUUUUAUGAAACGCGGUAGCAAUAAUCUACAAGGUAGCAAUAAUCUGAUGUGCCCUAUACUUGCCCUAUAUCACAUUAAGUAUAGGGCACAUCAGAUUAUUGCUACCGUGUAGAUUUGUUUAAUUAAUAAAUGUUUACAUAUUUAUUGUAUUACUUUUUCUGACGUUUGAGAUUUUUGCCACGCUUUUCUGUCAGUAUCAGUAUAGAGAUAUUUGGUGAACUGUAUAAAAGUCAUAUUUUUGGUAUUGUGACAGCACUAUAGCAUCGGGAAAUACUUUUUGUAAUGUAUACUGAUGAAUAAUCAAUGUAUUUAUUACAAUGUCCAUGUUUUAUGCUGAUUCAUGCUAUAUGGAAAAACUAUUUGUUUAGAAAAUUCAUUGUAAGCGGUCAACAUGUAAACCGUAAACAUUAUAAAACGUGUAGAUCGCCUGAGCAUAUAUUUAAGCGAAUGAAAAAUCAGACAUUUUCAAAUCCAAUUUACAGUCCCAGUUGUAAUGAACAUAAUUCAAAAUGUAGAUCCAUGGGAUAUUGGUUGUAUGGAUUGUAUUAUGAUGAUGACUGCAAUAAGAGAGGGAGAAACUAAAUCUUAUUUGCAGAUUGCAUGAUUAAAUAUUUAAUAUAUCUACAAGUUAUUAUUAGUUCAUUAGCAGUUUCUGGUCUGGUGUGAAUAAAGGCACAGUGGGUCAUGUACCUAUUUUGUUAAAGCCUGA